rnacentral:sRNA from 1 species
CUGCGCCCCUGACCGGGAUGGCUGCGAAGAGAGGGACCAAGACCAGCAUGAAGAACAUGGAGAAGGAACUGCUGUGCCCAGUGUGUCAAGAGAUGUACAAGCAGCCACUGGUGCUGCCCUGUACCCACAACGUGUGCCAGGCCUGUGCCCGAGAGGUCUUGGGCCAGCAGGGCUACAUAGGACAUGGUGGGGACCCCAGCUCCGAGCCCACCUCUCCUGCCUCCACCCCUUCCACCCGCAGCCCCCGCCUCUCCCGCAGAACUCUCCCCAAGCCAGACCGCCUGGACCGGCUGCUUAAGUCAGGCUUUGGGACAUACCCUGGGAGGAAACGAGGUGCUUUGCACCCCCAAGUGAUCAUGUUCCCGUGCCCAGCCUGCCAAGGUGAUGUGGAGCUUGGGGAGCGGGGUCUGGCAGGGCUUUUCCGGAACCUGACCCUGGAGCGUGUGGUGGAGCGGUACCGCCAGAGUGUGAGUGUGGGAGGCGCCAUCCUGUGCCAGUUGUGCAAGCCCCCACCACUAGAGGCCACCAAGGGCUGCACAGAGUGCCGCGCCACCUUCUGCAAUGAGUGCUUCAAGCUCUUCCACCCCUGGGGCACCCAGAAGGCCCAGCAUGAGCCCACCCUGCCUACCCUCUCCUUCCGACCCAAGGGCCUUAUGUGCCCAGACCACAAGGAAGAGGUGACCCACUACUGCAAGACAUGCCAACGCCUGGUAUGUCAACUCUGCCGGGUGCGGCGCACCCACAGCGGGCACAAGAUCACACCAGUGCUCAGUGCCUACCAGGCCCUCAAGGACAAGCUGACAAAGAGCCUGACAUACAUCCUGGGAAACCAGGACACGGUACAGACCCAGAUCUGUGAGCUGGAGGAGGCCGUGAGGCACACCGAGGUGAGUGGUCAGCAGGCCAAGGAGGAGGUGUCGCAGCUGGUGCGGGGGCUGGGAGCUGUGCUGGAGGAGAAGCGGGCAUCACUGCUUCAGGCCAUUGAAGAAUGCCAGCAGGAGCGGCUGGCCCGUCUCAGCGCCCAGAUCCAGGAGCACCGGAG